rnacentral:rRNA from 1 species
GACGAACGCUGGCGGCGUGCUUAACACAUGCAAGUCGAACGGUAAGGCCCUUCGGGGUACACGAGUGGCGAACGGGUGAGUAACACGUGGGUGAUCUGCCCUGCACCUCGGGGUAAGCCUGGGAAACUGGGUCUAAUACCGGAUAGGACCACUGCCUGCAUGGGUGGUGGUGGAAAGCUUGUGCGGUGUGGGAUGGGCCCGCGGCCUAUCAGCUUGUUGGUGGGGUGAUGGCCUACCAAGGCGACGACGGGUAGCCGGCCUGAGAGGGUGACCGGCCACACUGGGACUGAGAUACGGCCCAGACUCCUACGGGAGGCAGCAGUGGGGAAUAUUGCACAAUGGGCGCAAGCCUGAUGCAGCGACGCCGCGUGAGGGAUGACGGCCUUCGGGUUGUAAACCUCUUUCAGCACCGACGAAGCGCAAGUGACGGUAGGUGCAGAAGAAGGACCGGCCAACUACGUGCCAGCAGCCGCGGUAA